ACCGGCGCACGGGUGCGUAACGCGUAUGCAACCUACCUUUAACAGGGGCAUAACACUGAGAAAUUGGUACUAAUUCCCCAUAACAUUCGAGAAGGCAUCUUCUUGGGUUAAAAACUCCGGUGGUUAAAGAUGGGCAUGCGUUGUAUUAGCUAGUUGGUGAGGUAACGGCUCACCAAGGCGACGAUACAUAGGGGGACUGAGAGGUUAACCCCCCACAUUGGUACUGAGACACGGACCAAACUCCUACGGGAGGCAGCAGUGAGGAAUAUUGGUCAAUGGACGCAAGUCUGAACCAGCCAUGCCGCGUGCAGGAAGACGGCUCUAUGAGUUGUAAACUGCUUUUGUACUAGGGUAAACGCUCUUACGUGUAGGAGCCUGAAAGUAUAGUACGAAUAAGGAUCGGCUAACUCCGUGCCAGCAGCCGCGGUAAUACGGAGGAUCCAAGCGUUAUCCGGAUUUAUUGGGUUUAAAGGGUGCGUAGGCGGUUUGAUAAGUUAGAGGUGAAAUACCGGGGCUCAACUCCGGAACUGCCUCUAAUACUGUUGAACUAGAGAGUAGUUGCGGUAGGCGGAAUGUAUGGUGUAGCGGUGAAUGCUUCGCGAUCAUACAGAACACCGAUUGCGAAGGCAGCUUACCAAA
rnacentral:rRNA from 1 species